rnacentral:rRNA from 1 species
GUUGCAAGACCAAAGAGGGGGACUUUCGGGCUUCUCACUAUCCGGAUGAAUCCCAGAUGGGAUUAGGUUAGUAAGGCCGGGGUAACGGCCCAUCCUAGGCGACGAUUCCCUUAAGCUGGUCUGAGAGGAUGACCAGCCACACUGGGAACUUGAGACACCGGUCCCAGACUCCUACGGGAGGCAGCAGUGGGGAAUAAUUGCACAAUGGGCGCAAGCCUGAUGCAGCCAUGCCGCGUGUAUGAAGAAGGCCUUCGGGUUGUAAAGUACUUUCAGCGGGGAGGAAGGCGAUGUGGUUAAUAACCGCAUUGAUUGACGUUACCCGCAGAAGAAGCACCGGCUAACUCCGUGCCAGCAGCCGCGGUAAUACGGAGGGUGCAAGCGUUAAUCGGAAUUACUGGGCGUAAAGCGCACGCAGGCGGUCUGUUAAGUCAGAUGUGAAAUCCCCGGGCUUAACCUGGGAACUGCAUUUGAAACUGGCAGGCUUGAGUCUCGUAGAGGGGGGUAGAAUUCCAGGUGUAGCGGUGAAAUGCGUAGAGAAUCUGGAGGAACU